AUACGUAGGUUGCAAGCGUUGUUCGGAAUUACUGGGCGUAAAGCGUGCGCAGGUGGUUUUGUAAGUCAGAUGUGAAAUCCCCGGGCUUAACCUGGGAACUGCGUUUGAAACUGCAAGGCUAGAGUGUGGCAGAGGGGGGUGGAAUUCCGCGUGUAGCAGUGAAAUGCGUAGAGAUGUGGAGGAACACCGAUGGCGAAGGCAGCCCCCUGGGUCAACACUGACGCUCAGGCACGAAAGCAUGGGGAGCAAACAGGAUUAGAAACCCCUGUAGUCC
rnacentral:rRNA from 1 species